rnacentral:tRNA from 1 species
GACGGUAUAGCCAAGUGGUAAGGCCAUAGAUUGCAAAUCUUUUAGCCCCAGUUCGAAUCUGGGUGCCGUCU